rnacentral:rRNA from 1 species
AAUCCGGUUGAUCCUGCCGGACCUGACUGCUAUCGGAUUGAUACUAAGCCAUGCGAGUCAUUGUAGCAAUACAAGGCAGACGGCUCAGUAACGCGUAGU